rnacentral:rRNA from 1 species
CCUUGUACACACCGCCCGUCACACCCGGAAAAUUGAUUGCACCAGAAGUCGUUGGGCUAACUUCUAUUUAUAGAGGAGGCAGGCGCCGACGGUGUGGUUGGUAAUUUGGGUGAAGUCGUAACAAGGUAGCCGUAGGGGAACCUGUGGCUGGAUCACCUCCUUUCUAAGGAGUAAGUU